AGUGAACGCUGGCGGCAGGCCUAACACAUGCAAGUCGAACGGCAGCACAGGGGAGCUUGCUCCCUGGGUGGCGAGUGGCGGACGGGUGAGGAAUACAUCGGAAUCUACCCUUUCGUGGGGGAUAACGUAGGGAAACUUACGCUAAUACCGCAUACGAUCUGAGGAUGAAAGCAGGGGACCGCAAGGCCUUGCGCGAUUGGAUGAGCCGAUGUCCGAUUAGCUAGUUGGCGGGGUAAAGGCCCACCAAGGCGACGAUCGGUAGCUGGUCUGAGAGGAUGAUCAGCCACACUGGAACUGAGACACGGUCCAGACUCCCACGGGAGGCAGCAGUGGGGAAUAUUGGACAAUGGGCGCAAGCCUGAUCCAGCCAUGCCGCGUGUGUGAAGAAGGCCUUCGGGUUGUAAAGCACUUUUGUUGGGAAAGAAAUCCUGUCGGCUAAUACCCGGCUGGGAUGACGGUACCCAAAGAAUAAGCACCGGCUAACUUCGUGCCAGCAGCCGCAGUAA
rnacentral:rRNA from 1 species